rnacentral:ncRNA from 1 species
ACAUUGGCAAAGAAAAGAAGAGUAAUUCUGAAGGACGGCGUAGAGAGUUUCUGGUUGGUGAAAAGAAACGCGAAGAGCAGAAUGAACAUGGUCUUGGAGCCGCAUUUCCGAUUGGCAGGAAUGACGGAAGCGCCCGUUACAGCGUCAGAGUAUGUCAGUACUCGGUAAGGCAGUUUCGGCAACGGAUCUGCGAAUUUAGGUGGUAACACGAAAGUUCAGCUUUCGUCCUAAUG